rnacentral:lncRNA from 1 species
GAAAUCAUUACUGGUGUUUCUUAGGAAAGAAAGGAAAACAUGUUUGUUCUCACUGAAAUUACUCGCAAAAACAUAUACUUGCCUUCAACUGCUGCAAAAGGAUGUGUCCUCCCGUUCAUGCAUCUCGGGGGAAAAAGCGCUGAGCCUGUUUGCCGUUUCUUGAUUUCGGCUUUCGUGUUCUAAUUUGGGAUCAGUCACGAGACGCACAGCAGCACUCUCAGCUUCACUAUUCGGAGUGGGAGAGUGAGCGAUUGUGUGUCAGAUUCUGUCUAAUGAAGUGCGUGAUCUCCUCGUGUACAAACAGGGUGUGACUUGGCUGGAAUGUCCUCCUUGCUGUCUCAGCCACCAUGUUCUAGAGGGCACCCAAGGACGCUUAUUAAGGUGAGGCAGACGUGAGAGAUGUGAGAAAGAGUGAGAUGACCUAACCCUAGGACGAGGCUGGAGAGAGAGGAGACCUACAGGAGGAGCAGAGGUGAAAACUGCGGGGGCUGUGGACCAGCUCUGUGCUGUCGUUGCGACACAAUGAUACUAAAAGUAACUCCUGCUGUUUGCUUUCAUCAUGAAUACUCUGAGGAAAUGGAAGUAAGCAUCUUCAGACUGGCGAUUACUGUAAUUAUGCUGAGAAACAGAGGGCUGGCUGAGAUUAGAACUGGGGAUUACAAGGAAAUCGUUGAAGACAACUCACGCUUCUAUCGACUCUAGGAACACUGGGAACGACGUUCUACACAAUAUUGCCCAUGUCCUCUAAGAUCCAUGUGACUGUUUCUCCAGAUUUCAGCAACAGAGAAAGUGCUGAGAAGAAUUGUGUGGGGAAGGCACUUCGACUUGCUCCCAGGAAGCAUCACAAGAUAGAAUUACUCUGGUGGAAAUCAAACUUCAUCAAAGCUAAGAUCAAGAUUCUUGAGAAGAAAUCCUGCUGAAUUCACUUCACAUCUGCUCCUUCUCAUUGAUGGUUAUGGAUUAUUUUCGUCAACAAGAGAGAAAACACAACCACAACAAAACUUCACAAGUUGCCCACAAAGUGUGUGAUGAUGGCAGAGGCUAACACUGUUCAGGGUAAGUAAAACCAGAACCGUCGCCCCAUGCAUGCUAAUCCACUGUUCUUUUCACCGUAGCUAAUUUCUUAUUUAUGACAAAAUCUGUAUUGCCUUAGGCAGUUACUUAAAAGCUCAUUAUAGUGAAUACUUGGAUGUUUUAGAAACAAAAUAGGAGCGUUAACCAUAAAUAUUGAUUGCAGCCCUAAGUGAAUGUGUGUGAACUCCUUUGCCUUAUAAAAAAAGAAAAAGGGAGAGACAGAAAGAUCUACUCCAACAGGUCAGAUAGGAAUUACAC